AGAGAGGUGGAAAACUCCCAGCAGUUGAGUAGACACGUUCAACCUACCCCAGUUGAACUGUGGAGAAAGAGGCAAAGGAGAAAAAUCGAGAUGCAGAUAGUCCGAGCGUCAUCUUUGUUGUCAUCCUUGUUCUUCGGAAGCCUCCGUUUUUCUGUCUGUACAGUGAACCCAGCUGGGUGUUACAGGCUCCAGAUUCUUUGUAGCUCAGGAGUUUCUCUUCCUCGAUCUGCACCCCAGCAGGCUGACGGAGAACUGCUUGUUCCGCCUCCUCUUUCUAGGUGAGGUGGUUCCAGCAUGAGCUCAAAUGCUCAACCCUUGCGAUCAUCACGUGGUCAGGCCAGAGAUAGAAAGACCCACAGCCAAGCCCUGUGAUCACCCUGGAGACCCAGGUCAGUACCUUCCCAUGGUCUCUGUCACUUUUUCUGCCCUGAUGCUUCUGGAAGAGUUCUCUGGGGCGUGUUUCUGCCUCCGCUGGGCUCCAGAACUCGGAAAGCCUGGACGGACACAUGAUGCCGCCCUCCUGCCCUGUAGGGAUGUGUACCUGCCUGCAGGUGUGUGUUCACACCCCAGCUGAUUGCAUAUGAGUGAGUGUGCACAUGCGUGUGUGCAGCCAGGUUCUGAAAGCAGCGUGGGAAGAACCGGACCCGUUCCUUUUGAGUUUUCCUCUGCCCUUUUCUUCCGCCCAGCCAUCACGAGGAGGUGACAGAUGAGGCACACAGCGAGGGGCCGGCUGCUCUUUCAUGUCUUGAGUUUGGAGAACUUUCUCCCCUUGGCAAUUCCUGGCAUCCUUGGGUCUGCUGGCACAGUGGGCUGUUCCGAGGGGUCUGCAUCACGGAGGCGUGGCCUUGUGGGGCAGGUGACAGCGAGCCUUGUGAGGACGGCCUGGCCCUUACUGUGCACUUUCUGCUUUCCUGGGAGAUGGGACAGAGCGCAGCUGUGGGUCCAGCAGCCACAGGUGGAACCCCAGAAUGUCUCAGCCCCCAUCUUUCCCUCUGGAAUAUUAUCGCCACAGGGACAGUGCCUACCCUGCAGGGCGGUGGUGAGACUUACAGGAAAUGGUCUCUACAAAGUGAUGGUACAGGAGUUCCCUGGUGGCCUAGAAUUUAAGGGUCCGGUGUUGUCACUGCUUUGGUGUGGGUUUGAUCCCUGGCCCAGGAAGUUCUACAUGAAAACAGAAAAAGGUCAUCGGUGCAUACUAAGUGCUUAGCAUUAUUAGUGUUUCAUUUAUUUAUUUACUUUUUCAGGGCCACACCCGUGGCCCAUGCAAGUUCCCAGGCUAGGGGUCCAUUCCGAGCUACAGCUGCCAGUCUGCACCAGAGCCACAGCAGCGCAGGAUCUGAGCCACGUCUGUGACCUAUACCACAGCUCACAGGGAUGCCGGAUCCUUAACCCACUGAUUGAAUCUGAGUCCUCAUGGAUACUGGUCGGGUUUGUUUCCUCUGAGCCACAAUGAGAAUUCCAGUACGAGUGUUUCAAACCCAUAGAACUGUUGGGUUUCUGAUGAGACGUGAAGGGGGCGUAUCUUUGGAUGACUCAUUCCAUCCAGCGCCCCACAGCUCAGGGUGUCAGCUGGGCCAAUGUCUCUGAGCAUCUCCAGGCUCCUCAGUGACUCUUGCAGUUUGCUCGUUGCCAAGGACCACAGGCCCCCCACCCUUCGACCCCCUCCCUGGCAUCUCUGCCCUGGACUUCCCCAGGGGAAUGAGGAGCAGCCUCAUCCCACCCCUUCCUCCUUCCUCCAUCAGGAGGGCCUGAUGUUGUGGGCAGAGUAGGUUCUCAGGGGCUCUCUGUGCUCGGCUGGCCUCUGGUUGACCCCCGCCCCCACUUUUCCCUGCGUCGGUUUCAGGGCUGACCAGACAGCAGAGCUGGCAGGAAGGGGCAGCGCGUGGGACUUUGAGGGGCCAAACGCCCAGUGCGCAGCCCCUGAUGGACCCUCCUCUGCUCUGGUUUUCCCCAACUUCUGCCGUUCCCUCAUCACCUCAGCCGUGCUUGCCAUGUGUGAAUAAGUCACCUAAAAAUACAUUUCCCUUUAAAUGAACAUAUUUAUUGUAUUCUUUUUUUUUUUUUUCCUUCCUUUUUUCGGCUGCCUGCAACGUAUGGAGCUCCUAAGCCAGGGAUCAGAUUUGAGCCACCGUUGAAACCUAUGCCACAGCUGCACCACACCUGUGCUGGGCCAGGACUAGAACCUGGGUCCCAGCGCUCCCAGAGACCCGCCCGUCCCCUUACACCACAGCCGGAUCUCCUAAAUUCACUUACUUUCCUUUCAGAAGGAGACUUGGCCUCAGCUAGCGGUUCCCCAUCAGGGGUGUCUUUGGCCCUCAGAGGACGUUUAGCCCUGUUGAGGCAUUUGGGUUUACCUCACCUUGCCAGGGAGCGGGGGUGGUUACUUACUGGUCUCUGGUGAGUAGAGACCAGAGAGGCUGCUAAACAUCCUACAAGACGCGGGACGUCCCCACAGGAAGAAUUAUCCAGCCCGAAAUGUCAGCAGGGCCGAGGUUGAGAAACGCUAUCUCGAGGAACCAUAUUGCUGAAAUCACACCUUUGACGUUUCAGUUAGAUAUUUUUUCAAAACAUUAAAUCUUAAAUUCAUAAUAUUGAAAAGCUCCUUUCGGUGCCCUCAAAAACCAUCCCAGAGGACUCUCAGAGGUAGGUGUGCCCCACUUUGGGAAAUGUGACUCCCCACGCUUAGGAGAGAACUUCUAGGGUGCAUUCUUAAAAUGCUGGCCUUUCUCUUCUUUAUCAGUCUCUGCCCAGAAAGAAAACGUACAGGCUCAAACCCUGGGCACAUAGUCUGUGCCCAGAAUUCUGGAAGCCAAAACUCACUGGGGUGGAGUGCCCGUAGCCUGGAUGGAUGGCUCUGGGUGGUUCUGGAUGGUUCCGUCCUUGGCCUUGCUCUAUCUUUCACUAUGGAUAUGGCCCAAACAGCCCUUCAAAACCUCCUUGGAAAAGAACAGUCACGUGCCCUCGGUUCCGGCCAGCAUGCUGGGAGUGUAACAGCUCAACCCUCCACAAUGACCUCUCAGAGACCCCAGCCCUGGUCCGUAGCCACCCGUGGCACAAGGUGGGUUUUCUGCGUUGAUGUCACGCCAUCAGGGAAGCGGCUCCAUUUGUCUCCAGCCAACACUCCAUUGGUCUCAUCUGGUGCUCGGUCUUUGGGGAACUGUAGGAAGUUAUUGUCUUUCUCCGAGUUCUGAUUUCCCACAUUCAAGAGACACUGGAACUCAGCCAAAGUGCAAAUGUUUUUUUGUAACUGUUGGCACAAGGCUGUGGCCAGAUCUGCCUGGAUGCUGGGCCUCAGCCUGCUGGGACUCACAACGGGAUUGGCUGCUGCCUGCAGGGAGGUCAGACGAGAGGAGCAGGGAAAGGUUUUCUGGCAGAACGUGGCACCCCAAACAUUACCCACAUGGCACGAGCAGGACGGCAGAUGUGGCUGAACUUGGAAGAGCCAGCCAUGCAGAGGCAGGUGGCGGACAUGCUUGAGCCCGAGGUCAGUUCCUGCUUCCUCCCUCCAGUGCCCUUUGCUCCGGAGAAAGGCACUCUCUGUUCCGACCUGGAGCACAGGGGCACAGGUGGGCCUGACCCCUGGAUUUCAUGUGGCAACAGCCCGGCUUGCCCUGUCUCCCUAGUAGUCACUGCAUCAGCCCCCACCUCGUGCUUGGCGAAUCUGUCCCCGAGCAGCUGUUCUGAGUUGGAGGAGGUGGCUUGAGUGGCUGCUGAGGCUUCUUCUAACGCCCUCUGCCAUUGGCACGGCAAAGCUCCGCAUCUGUCCUUGUCUGCGGGACUCUGCUUUAUGGCCAGAUUAAUAGAAUGAGGAAGCCUAGUGAGGUUUAGAUCCGUGGUAUCAGCUUUCCCUCAGCAGGUGGCCCCUGGGGGGUGCCGAGGAAUCCCUGGCUUUCAGUGGUGAAUGCUUUUCUUUUUAUUUUUUUUCUUUCUUUCUUUUUAGGGUCACACCUGCUGCAUAUGGAAGUUGCCUGGCUAAGGGUCGAAUAAAAGCUAUAGCUGCUGGCCUACACCACAGCCACAACAAGGCGCGUCUGAGACCUAUGCCGCAGCUCACAGCAAUGCCAGACCCCCAACCCACUGCGCAAGGCCAGGGAUCAGACCCGCAUCCUCAUAGAUUCUAGUCGGGUUCCUUUUCACUGCUCCACGAUGGAAACUCUCAUGAAUGCUUUUCUCAUCUCCAGAUGGCGGUUACCUGGGAACCGGGUGACCUAGAGAUGAAAAAAGAAAAGUCUGAAGGGAGUUUGCGUUUGGUUAGCAGCAUUGUCAUGAUGUCCACUCACUGACAUCAUUUGCCAAGAACUGGCUUCUCCCACUGAAUCCUCCAAUGCCCUUAUCACCUAGGUCUUUUCAUAAUACCCAGGUGAGGCCCCCUGAGGGUCAGAGAGGUUAAAUAACUUGCCCAAGGUCACACAGGACCUAGCAUUGAUGUCAGACUCGGGGCCGUAUGACAUCAGAAUCUAUCAUCUCAACCUCUCUCCUAUUUUUUUGUUUUUAUUUUUUCUGUCUUUUUGUCUUUUGAGGGCCACACCUGAGGCGUAUGGAGGCUCCCAGGCUAGGGGUCUAAUUGGAGCUGUUGCCGCUGGCCUACACCACAGCCACGGCAAUGCCGGAUCCUUAAUCCACUGAGCGAGGCCAGGGGUCAAACCCACGACCUCAUGGUUCCUUGUCAGAUUGGUUUCUGCUGCACCAUGACGGAGACUCCCCUCUCUCCUAUUUUUGCAGCAAAAAAAAAAAAAAAAAAAAAAAUUGCUUUGAUCAGUAGAAAGAUUUGUUAAUGCUUAGAUAGAGCUGGAGGGACGCGCUUGAGGUAUGCACCUCGAGGUCAGUAUCGAUAAAUAGAUGGAUGGAUAAUGCUUUGCACAAGAAUCCACAGGUGCACUUCGAUAAGUAGGUAGAGGGAUGAUAGAUGGAUAGGUAAAGAGAUAAAUGGAAUGCUUUCCAUAGUGAGUAAUUCUUUGACAGAUUGGUUGCCACAAGACUUGUGGGUAAAGGGUUUAAAGGGUUUAAAGCAGUGGACCCAAUAGAAAAUUUAUUUUGAAAACAACAAAAGUGAAACACCUCCCUGCGCAUCAACGGUGUGUUGGCAAGUUUGAAGGCUCGUUAUUUGAUUCUCUCGUUCUCACUGAUCCCCAAGAUGGUGUAUGUCUUUUAUGACUUCCCUCCAACUGGCAAAGCCUCUCAUCAUUUAAUUUUAGCUUCUCUGCCUCCCUCCCCGCCACCCCCCAUCCCCAACCCAGCUUCACUGUCAAUUAGCUAAUGGUCUCUCCUCCGACCCGGAGAUACCCUGGGCGAUGGGAGAAAGGAACUUGAGUAAAGAUUGAUCCGUCUGGGUCUUUGUGAAGUUGGCUCUCUUUGGAGGGGAGCAAACCUUCACUUACGCUGAGAUUCCUCUCAGGACCUGAAGAUCCAGGGCAUCAGGAGGAAGACUCCUGACUGCUCAGCUUUUAGCAACCAACCAGGUCCUUGAAUUUCUUUGAUCAACUAAGAGAGGGAGGGAACAGCUUUCAACCAACAACUGGGUCCUUGAAUUUCUUUGAUCCACUAAGGUUGGGGGCAGUUACAUUUACAUCAUUUAAAGAUGAUGCUGGAGGCCUUGGAGAUUGUGAACAAAGCCCACAAAGAACCUGAGUAGUGGGCGGAAGGAAAUCAGCACAUGCGAAAUUCAUCCCUUCAUCCAGCGGCUUGUUUGAUAGUUUUGGGCCAGGAAGAGGCAGGGCCUUGUGCUUGAAGCUAAAGAUACAGCAGUGAACUGGCCAGAAGGUGCCUUGCUCAUGGAGCCCCCAUGUGGGUGGGGGGGUGGGAGUGGUGGUCAGACAGUGAAAAUGGGAACAAAUAAAUCUGCUUGUACUUUCAGGGAGUAAUGGGUGAAUAAAAAUAAGAUCCGUAAUCGGAAGGAAUAUAAGAAAAAGAAUGUUUUUAUAUAUGUAUGACCAGGUCAUUUUGCUGUACAGCCCAAAUUGACACAACAUUGUAGAUCAACUAUACUUAAAUUAAAAAAAAAUUAAGAUUAAAACAAAUAAGGAGUUCCCAUUGUGGUGUAGCUGGAGCGAAUCUGACUAGUAUCCAUGAGGAUGCAGAUUUGGGAUCCGGUGUUGCCAUGCACUAUGGUGUAGUUUGCAGACACGGCUCAGAUUCCGAGUUGCUGUGGCUGUGGUGUAGGCCAGUAGCUGUAGCUCAGAUUC
ensembl:lncRNA